GAAUGUAGGCAGUCUGUCCGCCUCCGCACCGCUGUCCUAGAAAUGGAAAUCAGGAAACAGACCAUUUACCAUUUUACGUCAACCUGGACAUGAAGUGGACUUUUUUCGCCUGAUUGCCUUGAUGCUGUUGUCACAUACCAGCAGUGAUGAUGAAGCCUCACACUCAAGCUGCUGCCUGCAUAUUGAGAUGCACUUCAGCGAAGACUCCACUUUUAUCAGGAUCAAAGCACAUGCUAACACCCAGAAAACCGGGAAGUGUGCUUGUUUGUGGUAAGAAAGAGGGAGAUGGACGGGACAAUGUGAAAGAGAUGAAAAAUGAAAUUCAACAUUUACAUUGUGGAAUAUUUAGCAGGUGUUUACAGAAUCGCAGUUUGGCUUAUCUUCCAGCAUGAUUUAUCCUAAGCUGGAAAAAUAGCUGAAUUCUGGAUUUCUGUCCUAGUUUCUUUGUACAUUCAGAUUUUCGUUAUUUAAUGGCAUUUUAUAGCACACACCUAGCUGCUUGAUUUACUGACCUUCCCACACAUACACUCUCAGACUCAUUCACUUGUUCAAGAGCACAAGCAGUCAGCCUCUACAAACCUGACCCGGACAUAUAAGCCUGAAAUAGAUGCCUACUUAGACAUGACAUCAGCCGGUAUGUUGGCCGGACAGCACACACAUACUUACAUUUAGUGCACGUCUUCAGAGCUAAAUGUCCUGCGCUUAUACUGUAAGUCUAGUGGGGAAAUCUCAGGCAGCUGUGCAAAGGCAAGAAUACAGCUGUAAAGUGUGUCUUUCUGCGUGUGUUAAAAUCCUGCUUCCAUGCAGGGUCAGAGUCCUAUAUCAGCCUUUAUUUUAGCCUUUAGAUGAGCACACCUGAAAAUAAACUGCAUGUUCUAGGCUUUAGAUCUGCAGGUGGACAUGCAGGGGAGAAAACACGUGUUUUCAUAUAGUGGAGGACAAAACCACCAACACUUGCACUUAGUUUUUUCACUUUCUUUUGUUCUAGAAUCUUGCUAUUCUUGACACCCAUUUCAUCUGCUCAAGGAAAAAAGCAACUCUACUCACAUUCACUGCCAUUAGUUUGACUAUUAGUUCUCACAAUCAAGGUUUACAGAGCCGCUUUUACCACAUCACAUUAGAUGCUUUAACAAAUUUGUAUAUGUUGGUUGAAAGUGGAGUAUGGGGCCUUAAUACCUAACUGUAUCUCAUGAAAGGAAAUCGAGUGAGUUUCUUAUAAACAGACUUAAUGGAUGAAAAGCAUAUGUUAAUGGAGUCUAUGAAUAAUACAAGAGAUUAAAGUAUUGACAUUACUUUUCUCUUUUUACAUAAUUCAUCCAAACCAAAUUUAUGCACCUCUGAAACAACAAAUUGGGUAUAACUCACAAAAUAAAAGUUAAGUUUAUUGUUGAACAACAAACUUCACACAUACAACAAACAGGCCAAGGUAAAACAAAUAAUGUAGACAAAACAAAAUAGAAAGAAACCAAAACUCCUUUUCUUUGGCCUAGCCCUCCCAUACAAAAACUAGUUUAUGGUACAACUAGUUAUGGUACAACUAAAUUUCAUACAUAAAAUUUACUGGAAUGCUCCGAGUUCAAUGGCUGUUGAUUUUAUACAUGUUGUCUUUUAUGUCGAGAUAUCGAGACAUGGUCAAACGAGUAAAAUUUCAUAAAGAAGCACCGUUCUGGUCACAGGAGAUCAUGAUCAAGUGGCUGAUCUCUUCACAAUAUGUACAAAAAUAUAAAAUGUAAAUAAAAAUACAAACAAAUCCUUGUCUUAUGUAUUUCAUUGAGAAUGUGGGAAAUCUGGGGUUGUGGUCUGUCCUCUAGAAAAUUUUGAUUUGGGGAUCAGUUGGUUGACAUGGGUGACGAACUUGAAAAUGACCAUGUUUUAUGUAUUUGAGUCCUUUAUGCCACAGGCUCCAACAGUUGCAUUGAAGCAGAGGCAUCGACACCUGCUCAGCAGUACGAAACAAUCCUUUAAUCGUCAUCAUCCGUCUUCUGCU